AAAUUUUGGUGAUUUAUGUUAGGUGAAAUUGAUGUGUUCAUAAUUAAUAUUAUGAAUUUUUGAGAUGAAAUUUAUGUGUGACUUGGUGGAAAAUGAAUUUAAUUCAAUUUAGGUGUGGAUGAAAUUUGGAGAUGUGAUUUAUGUGUGGUUGUGGAAAUUUAAAUUGGUGUGAAUAAAUAUGUUUGAGUAUGCUCUAUGUGGUGUUUGAAAAAUCAUUAGUGUUAAAUGAGUAUUAAAAAUGGGGAAUCUUUUAAUAACUGCAUUUACUUAAUGAUUGUGGUGAAAAGAGUCAGAGUAUGCUCAUGCAUUUCAUAGUACAUGGUGACCGCGAUGGGGCCAUGGUGAUAGCGGUGACCGUGAUGGGCCACAGGAUGAUGCCAUGUGAAUUGUUGGUUCAUCUUAUCCUUGCGGGGAUUGUCGCGUCGUGCUGAUCUGUGAGAGAUUGCACUCUAGAAUGUGCUGAUCUGUGAGCGAUUGCACUCUAGAAAAUUGUGCUGGUUUGUGAGCGAUUGCACUCUUAUAUGUCGUGUUGGUCUAUGAGAGACUGCACGCUAGUAAAUCGUGCUGAUCCGUGAGAGAUUGCACCUCGGUAAUUAGUACUGGUCUGUGAGAGGCUGUACAAUUAUGAUUUACGCCCCUCGAGGAGGGUUUUGGUUUGGAAUUUCGAAAUGAUGCAUUUUGGCAUAUACGCAUUGCAUUAGGGUGCUUGGCACGCGAGUCAUGUUUGUUAUACUUUGAUAAUUGUAUAUACAUAUUCGGUUGUUGUUGUGAUUUGUCGUAAUUACUUUGAGGUGUGAAGUUAGGUUGAUCAAGUUUUGAUGUAUUUAUGUGUUCAUAAUUGAUUUAAUGAAUAUUCGAUGUGUGAUUGAGGUGUGAAUUUGUGGAGAUUAAUUUGGUGUUAAUUAUGUGUUCAUAGUUGAUAACAUUAAUGUUUGAAGUGUUGAUUGAUUCAGAGCCAUUUUAGAAUUGAAAAUCUGCCUUUUCUCAAUUGUAUUCGGCCACGAC
rnacentral:lncRNA from 1 species